rnacentral:rRNA from 1 species
GACGAACGCUGGCGGCGUGCUUAACACAUGCAAGUCGAACGAAGUGGCGAACGGGUGAGUAACGCGUAAUCAACCUGCCCUUCAGAGGGGGACAACAGUUGGAAACGACUGCUAAUACCUCAUACUGAAGGGGGGGAUUGCGUCUGAUUAGCUAGUUGGAGGGGUAACGGACUACCAAGGCGACAACGGGUAGCCGGCCUGAGCGGGCGACCGGCCACAUUGGGACUGAGUUACGGCCCCAACUCCUACGGGAGGCAGCAGUGUGGGAAAUUGCACCAUGGGGGAAGCCCUGAUGCAGGAACGCCGCGUGCGGGAUGACGGCCUUCGGGUUGUAAACCGCUUACAGCCAUGACGCGGUAGUAGCAGAAGAAGCACCGGCUAACUACGUGCCAGCAGCCGCGGUAAUUC